rfam:Haemonchus contortus, ISE/inbred ISE, WGS project CAVP01000000 data, contig: Hcontortus_contig_pathogens_Hcontortus_scaffold_4337
GGCCCAAAUUUGAAGUAGAGUAGAUUAGAAGGAUCAUCUAACCCUACUAAAUUACUCUACUUCGAGUUUGUGCCC